AAUUGUGGCAUUCCUGAAUCGGUCCCUCCAUCAGAGUUACGCCAAACGCACAAGGAGUAAACAUGAGCAAAAUGUAACUAUACGCACUAUGACUCCAUAUCACAACACAUCGGCAUACAAUGAUCAGCUGUGGAAAUCCAGUACCACUUCUCAUCUCUACCUCUCAGCUACGGACAACCUGAACAUUUGGGCAUGCUGGACACUGUCGGAACACCAUGGUUUAUUCUCACUGUGACUCAGAAUAUCAGCAUACUGAUGAAUCUCUUUAUACCUUUUUUUUUUUUUCCAAUACAUCAUGGACACUACCGAAAAAUCUAGGGAGUCCCAUGCCUAACUAAACCAUAACGGACUUAAUGCUGGUUAUAGUAUCUGACAUAUAUUGUUACUGCUCUCUGAAAGGUUAUACUCUCCUGCAUAUAUCUCUUAUCUGAAACACACCCAGCCAGAUCAA